UACAGAGGUCUCAAGCGUUGUUCGGAAUCACUGGGCGUAAAGGGUGCGUAGGCGGCCUGACAAGUCUGAUGUGAAAUCCCUGGGCUCAACCCAGGGCCUGCAUCGGAAACUGUCGGGCUUGAGUAUGGGAGAGGUGAGUGGAAUUUCCGGUGUAGCGGUGAAAUGCGUAGAUAUCGGAAGGAACACCUGUGGCGAAAGCGGCUCACUGGACCAUUACUGACGCUGAGGCACGAAAGCGUGGGGAGCAAACAGG
rnacentral:rRNA from 1 species